AGAGUUUGAUCCUGGCUCAGAAUCAACGCUGGCGGCGUGCCUCAGGCAUGCAAGCCGAACGAUUAAAGCUCUCUUCGGAGAGUGUAUAGAGUGGCGCACGGGUGAGUAACACGUAAGUAAUCUACCUUCGAGUGGGGAAUAACAGUCGGAAACGACUGCUAAUACCGCAUAAUGCAGCGGCAUCGCAAGAUGACAGUUGUUAAAGGAGCAAUCCGCUUGAAGAGGAGCUUGCGGCAGAUUAGCUAGUUGGUAAGGUAAUGGCUUACCAAGGCUACGAUCUGUAUCCGGUCUAAGAGGACGGUCGGACACACUGACACUGAAUAACGGGUCAGACUCCUACGGGAGGCAGCAGUCGGGAAUUUUGGGCAAUGGGCGAAAGCCUGACCCAGCAACGCCGCGUGAAGGAUGAAGUAUUUCGGUAUGUAAACUUCGAAAGAAUAGGAAGAAUAAAUGACGGUACUAUUUAUAAGCUCCGGCUAACUACGUGCCAGCAGCCGCGGUAAUACGUAGGGAGCAAGCGUUGUUCGGAUUUACUGGGCGUAAAGGGCGCGUAGGCGGCGCGACAAGUCACUUGUGAAAUCUCCGGGCUUAACUCGGAACGGCCAAGUGAAACUGUCAUGCUAGAGUGCAGAAGGGGCAAUCGGAAUUCUUGGUGUAGCGGUGAAAUGCGUAGAUAUCAAGAGGAACACCUGAGGUGAAGACGGGUUGCUGGGCUGACACUGACGCUGAGGCGCGAAAGCCAGGGGAGCAAACGGGAUUAGAUACCCCGGUAGUCCUGGCCCUAAACGAUGUCAACUAGUUGUCGGGUCUUAACGGGCUUGGUAACGUAGCUAACGCGUGAAGUUGACCGCCUGGGGAGUACGGUCGCAAGAUUAAAACUCAAAGGAAUUGACGG
rnacentral:rRNA from 1 species